GGAAACCUCGUAGGCUGUAGCAGCAGCUGGGCGAGACCGCGCGAGCUCAGCCAGGUCCCCCAUGGGCAGUGCGAGCCUCAGAUAUUACUAGCGACCUAGCAAGUGACAGCGCAGGAAGUCUUGUUUCUCUUGGAACCUCAGAUCAGAUGCUGGGUGGGUGCUCUGCCUGGGCACCCCAUGACCUCAGUGGGACUUGAGGAGGGAGGGUCAUACGCAUCCUACAUGGUCUACAGGACAGACAGAAAAGACAGAGAGAAGCCCUGAGAGAUCAAGCUCUGCCCAAGGACAGCAGACUUCCUACUGGAGAGACAGCACCUUACACAGAGGCCCCAUGCUGGGCUUUCCAGGUGCCCCAGCCAUCAAAGUGAGUGAUGAGGUCUCCACAUCAGCCCCCAUCCCAAGAAACCACCUUCUGGCCUACUCAGAAGGGGCUCACAGGGCUACACUGAAGCUCAACUUCCCUUCUGGAAAUUUACAGAGAAGUUGGUCCCCUGAAGUCAUUUCUCAUCUUAAUUAAUUAUUGUUUCCUGUCUCACUGGGUUUUGCUGCUGGAUCCCCUCUGUGCUCCUCCU
rnacentral:lncRNA from 1 species